GAGCAAGAUGGCGACCCCGGCGGCGGUCAACCGUCCGGCUGUGUUCCUGGCAGUCUGUGACUGAUGGUCAUCAACAGAGCUGUGGCAUGUGUGUGAUUUUGAAGGAAAGAUUCUAAUCUGGAUACGAUUGAGCUUCAGUGCUGCUACUGUUGUGCUCUGCUUCCUGUUCCUGGAUGAGGGGCCUUCACAAAGUUCUCACGGCAGGAAUAUUAACAGAAUCAAUCUUCAACUUUGUCGAAGACAUUUCUUUGUAAGGACUUCAACUUCAAUAUUUUACAUCGGGUAACCCAUGGACUGGACAAAUAUAUGGACCAUGGACUUGGCAAAUAUAAGUUUCAUUUGAACGUAGAGCACAAACAUAUAAUUCCA